GUCCUACGGGGCGCAGCAGUGAGGAAUAUUGGUCAAUGGCCGGAAGGCUGAACCAGCCAAGCCGCGUGAAGGACGAAGGUGCCAAGCAUUGUAAACUUCUUUUGUCAAGGGACAAAAUCAGGCUCGAGAGCCUGAUCGAGGGUACUUGAAGAAAAAGCAUCGGCUAACUCCGUGCCAGCAGCUGCGGUAAUACGGAGGAUGCGAGCGUUAUCCGGAUUUAUUGGGUUUAAAGGGUGCGUAGGCGGGAGCGCAAGUCAGAUGUGAAAACUCAGGGCUCAACCCUGAGCCUGCAUUUGAAACUGUGU
rnacentral:rRNA from 1 species